UGUUCCCCUGACGGCAGUAUAGCAACACACUGCUGGACCCACGAGCUAGUUCUUGCAGUAUUUUCAAGCUUGGAAAAGGACGGCUCUAAGAUAAGGGAAGAAGACUCGAGCUAUGCAGCCUGAGGAGAAAGCCCGAUAAACCAACCAGAAAUAAGAUUCUACAUGAAGACAUAUGUAAAGCUGAUCACUGGGGACUCCCUCAUCAGGUCAUGGGUGUGCACCAAGGAAAAGGCAUCAGUGCAAUGUUGGGGAUUUGAACAAAGGAAGCCAAGAGGAAUUUUUCAGUUAACAAUAAG